AACGCUAGCUACAGGCUUAACACAUGCAAGUCGAGGGGAAACGAUAGAGAAAGCUUGCUUUUUCUAGGCGUCGACCGGCGCACGGGUGAGUAACGCGUAUCCAACCUGCCCACCACUUGGGGAUAACCUUGCGAAAGUAAGACUAAUACCCAAUGACGUCUCUAGAAGACAUCUGAAAGGGAUUAAAGAUUUAUCGGUGAUGGAUGGGGAUGCGUCUGAUUAGCUUGUUGGCGGGGUAACGGCCCACCAAGGCAACGAUCAGUAGGGGUUCUGAGAGGAAGGUCCCCCACAUUGGAACUGAGACACGGUCCAAACUCCUACGGGAGGCAGCAGUGAGGAAUAUUGGUCAAUGGGCGAGAGCCUGAACCAGCCAAGCAGCGUGCAGGAUGACGGCCCUAUGGGUUGUAAACUGCUUUUAUAAGGGAAUAAAGUGAGCCUCGUGAGGCUUUUUGCAUGUACCUUAUGAAUAAGGACCGGCUAAUUCCGUGCCAGCAGCCGCGGUAAUACGGAAGGUCCGGGCGUUAUCCGGAUUUAUUGGGUUUAAAGGGAGCGUAGGCCGGAGAUUAAGCGUGUUGUGAAAUGUAGAUGCUCAACAUCUGCACUGCAGCGCGAACUGGUUUCCUUGAGUACGCACAAAGUGGGCGGAAUUCGUGGUGUAGCGGUGAAAUGCUUAGAUAUCACGAAGAACUCCGAUUG
rnacentral:rRNA from 1 species